rnacentral:rRNA from 1 species
CAGCAGGCCGCGGUAAUACGGAGGGUCCRAGCGUUAUCCGGAAUUAUUGGGUUUAAAGGGUUCCGUAGGCGGAUGAUUAAGUCAGGGGUGAAAGYYYGCRGCUCAACUGURAAAUUGCCUUUGAUACUGGUCAUCUUGAGUUGUAUUGAAGUAGGCGGAAUAUGUAGUGUAGCGGUGAAAUGCAUAGAUAUUACAUAGAACACCAAUUGCGAAGGCAGCUUACUARGUACUAACUGACGCUGAUGGACGAAAGCGUGGGUAGCGAACAGGAUUAGAUACCCUGGUAGUCCACGCCGUAAACGAUGGAUACUAGCUGUUCGGGACCUUGAGUUCUGAGCGGCUAAGCGAAAGUGAUAAGUAUCCCACCUGGGGAGUACGUUCGCAAGAAUGAAACUCAAAGGA